UGUAUUUUAAGCUUCCUCCUAUGAUGAGCAAGGUAGGUAACCUUUUUUACUAUAUCUCAUUUAAUCCUCAAACCAGCUCAGAGCCACCUUUAUCCCAUAGGGUACCUUUGUGCAAAUUGGGAAAAGAUGCCCUUCUUCUGGAAAUGAGCAGCCAGGCCAGGAUGCACAGUUCACAGAAAAUAGAACAUUAACGACGUCUGCUGUGUUGUAUCUCCAAGCAGGGAAACAAGGCUCUGUGGGGGACAGGGCAGUGAAAAGGACCUUUCACAGAGAUUACUCAUAAGAAACAAGGCUAAAUCUCCCCAGAGGAAAACUACAAGGGUCCUACCGCCGGGGUAGUGACGAGCACAUGCACGCGUGAGUCUGGUUGCUCUCAUCUUUGAAUUCUCUGCUGAAAUAGCACGUCCUCACAGGGAACUUGCCCAACCACCCUCUUCAAAGCAGAAGCCCCAGGUUCAUUUCUGACCUAGCAUCCCAUUUAUUUUCUUCAGAACAUGUGCUAUAAUAUGUAAAUAGCUUCUUUAUUGUUCACUGUUAAAUUUUUCUAUCUAGAAUGAAAUGUGUUUAUUGCAGGAAAAUGGAAUCUUGUAAGAACGGUUUGUCCAGAUCACUUCGGGAUCCCCAGCACCUGGCACGUGGUGGCACCCACUAGCUUCUCAAUGAAAGCUUGUUCAAUAAAUGAAUGACCCCCACUAUUGGUGAGAGUGUC
rnacentral:lncRNA from 1 species